GCUUAUCUAGCUAAGUUGGUAAAAUACAAGGUUCUUAACCUUGUGGUCGUGGGUUCGAGCCCCGUGGUGGGUG
rfam:Zea mays cultivar B73 chromosome 7, whole genome shotgun sequence.